rnacentral:rRNA from 1 species
UACGUAGGGUGCAAGCGUUAAUCGGAAUUACUGGGCGUAAAGCGUGCGCAGGCGGUUGUGCAAGACCGAUGUGAAAUCCCCGGGCUUAACCUGGGAAUGGCAUUGGUGACUGCACGGCUAGAGUGUGUCAGAGGGGGGUAGAAUUCCACGUGUAGCAGUGAAAUGCGUAGAGAUGUGGAGGAACACCGAUGGCGAAGGCAAUCCCCUGGACCUGUACUGACGCUCAUGCACGAAAGGCGUGGGGAGCAAACGAGG